UGGGGAAUUUUGGACAAUGGGGGAAACCCUGAUCCAGCCAUCCCGCGUGUGCGAUGAAGGCCUUCGGGUUGUAAAGCACUUUUGGCAGGAAAGAAACGUCGCGGGUUAAUACCCCGCGAAACUGACGGUACCUGCAGAAUAAGCACCGGCUAACUACGUGCCAGCAGCCGCGGUAAUACGUAGGGUGCAAGCGUUAAUCGGAAUUACUGGGCGUAAAGCGUGCGCAGGCGGUUCGGAAAGAAAGAUGUGAAAUCCCAGAGCUUAACUUUGGAACUGCAUUUUUUAACUACCGGGCUAGAGUGUGUCAGAGGGAGGUGGAAUUCCGCGUGUAGCAGUGAAAUGCGUAGAUAUGCGGAGGAACACCGAUGGCGAAGGCAGCCUCCUGGGAUAACACUGACGCUCAUGCACGAAAGCGUGGGGAGCAAACAGGAUUAGAUACCCUGGUAGUCCACGCCCUAAACGAUGUCAACUAGCUGUUGGGGCCUUCGGGCCUUGGUAGCGCAGCUAACGCGUGAAGUUGACCGCCUGGGGGAGUACGGUCGCAAGAUUAAAACUUAAAUGAAUUGACGGGGGUCAUAGCUGUUUCCCU
rnacentral:rRNA from 1 species